UCCGGAUUUANUGGGCGUAAAGCGAGCGCAGGCGGUUUUUUAAGUCUGAUGUGAAAGCCCUCGGCUUAACCGAGGAAGCGCAUCGGAAACUGGGAAACUUGAGUGCAGAAGAGGACAGUGGAACUCCAUGUGUA
rnacentral:rRNA from 1 species